CCCAGAACUCUUCUAGUGAAAACAAACCAGACCAAACCACUUCACCGUGGUUGUCACCGCUGCUAGCUUUCAAUGUGUACCACUCGCCACAGGGCCAUUGGAAACUCAGAAGCAGAAGGCCACUGCCUGCUGUGACCGUCCUGCAGCAGAAGGGUCCAUGGAGCGCAGUGAUGUCCCGCACAAGUCUCAAACCAGAGCAACACAGAAGAGGAACAAACAAAUGGGAGACGGAGAGACACAGAAAAAGAGAGAGAGAGAGAGACAGAGAGAGGGAGUUGUUUGGAAAAAACUCUGCUUUGAGCCACGUCUGCAGAGCCAGGACUCCACCAGGCACGUAUUUAUUUUAAACACUGUUAUUUGGUUUACGUUUUCUUGUGGUUCCGACAAUGAUAUUGCACGCUUCUUCAAAGCCGGGAGAGCGCUGUGGAAGCACUUUAGGCAAGAGGAUUCCAACCCUUGACCCUUAAUGGCCUCCUCCGGCAACCCCACUAUGAUUCACAAAGGUGUCUUUAGCCGGCUUUCAAUUCCAGUUGUCCUACAGGUUCCAGGUUGAGUUGCCCAAAUUAAUGGGUGGGGCCGACCCUUCAGACAACCAUCCAUCAGCCGUCAGGGAGGAGCCUCCGGGUUCUAAGCCCCGCCCCCUCUCGCCUCUCACCUGCAGGUCUCAAACCCGAUGCUCAGGGCUGCCUCCAUCUCGGUCAUGGUGGGCAGGGUGCUGUUGAAAGCCUUGCAGAGGUCAGCAGCCUCCGUCUUCGAGAUGCUGUAGCGACCGUUUUUCUCCACGUGGAACACACCCGCGUAUCGGCAGGUUAUAUUCAAAUCUGUGGAUGAAACAGAAAUGUUAGAUACUUCUGCAUACAUUACUGCGAAGGCUAAGAAGUUUGUUUUAGGGUAGAUUCGUUAAAAAGACUCAUUUAAGGGGCGCCUGGGUGGCUCAGUUGGUUAAGCAUCGACUCUUGGUUUUGGCUCAGGUCACGAUCUCAUGGUUCGUGGCUUUGAACCCCACAUCGGGCUCUGCGCUGAAGGUGUGGAGCCUGCUUGGGGUUCUCUCUCUCUCUCUCUCUCUCUCUCUCAAAAUAAAUAAACUUUAAAAAAAGACUCACUUAAAAAACCUCUACUGGCCAGAGUCUUCCACAUUCACAUGGCCUUCCGAAGCCCCACACGUUCAGCUCAACGCUGAGAUCGGACCCAGUAAAGCAGGGUCACUCUACUUUCUCUCCAUCAAUUGCUUUACAACCAAGUUUUUAAAAAGCACAGGAUUUAUUUCUGAUUAUGAAAGUCAUAUAACUUGUAGAAACCCGACAAAAUUCAGGGAAGUAAGGAAGGAAAAGCAAGGCCACCAACUAUCGCCAACACUUUAAAUAUUUUGCUGUAUCUUCUUUCAGUUUUCUGAGUGUGUGUGUGUGUGUGUGUGUGUGUGUAUCUGUGCACUCAUGCGGGUGUGUCUACUUAUGUACUUACAUAGUAAAAAUGGUACUAAAUAUA